rnacentral:rRNA from 1 species
GACGAACGCUGGCGGCGUGCUUAACACAUGCAAGUCGAACGGAAAGGCCCUGCUUUUGUGGGGUGCUCGAGUGGCGAACGGGUGAGUAACACGUGAGUAACCUGCCCUUGACUUUGGGAUAACUUCAGGAAACUGGGGCUAAUACCGGAUAGGAGCUCCUGCUGCAUGGUGGGGGUUGGAAAGUUUCGGCGGUUGGGGAUGGACUCGCGGCUUAUCAGCUUGUUGGUGGGGUAGUGGCUUACCAAGGCUUUGACGGGUAGCCGGCCUGAGAGGGUGACCGGGCACAUUGGGACUGAGAUACGGACCAGAAUGCUACGGGAGGCAGCAGUGGGGAAUAUUGCACAAUGGGCGGAAGCCUGAUGAAGCAACGCCGCGUGCGGGAUGACGGCCUUCGGGUUGUAAACCGCUUUCGCAUGUGACGAAGCGUGAGUGACGGUAAUGGGUAAAGAAGCACCGGCUAACUACGUG